GACGUAGGGCGCGAGCGUUGUCCGGAUUUAUUGGGCGUAAAGAGCUCGUAGGCGGCUUGUCGCGUCGAAUGUGAAAUCUCAGGGCUCAACUCUGACAUUGCAUUCGAUACGGGCAGACUAGAAUUCGGUAGGGGAGUCUGGAAUUCCUGGUGUAGCGGUGAAAUGCGCAGAUAUCAGGAGGAACACCGGUGGCGAAGGCGGGACUCUGGGCCGAUAUUGACGCUGAGGAGCGAAAGCGUGGGGAGCGAACAGG
rnacentral:rRNA from 1 species